UGACCUCAGUUUAACUUGAUCACCUCUGUAGAGACCCUGUCUCCAAAUACAGUCACAUUCUGAGUUCCUAAGCAUUAGGACUUUAACAUAGGAGUUUGGGGAGGGGGACACAAGUCAACAUAAUAGGCGUUUAUAAUUAAUGAUAUGGCAUUUCAUAAUAUGGAAAAUAAAAGAGCAUUUUGUCAAAAAUUAUUUGCUUUCAUAUGGCUCUAAACUACGUAGUACAUCCCCAAAAUGUAAGAAACGAACUGGACUUACAGAAAUUAACUUGUCCUCUAUAUACAUAGUGUAUGACUCAUAAAAAACUAUAAUAAAACUAUGGUUUAAUAAAGAAGCUAAUUAGUAUCACUUUCUAAAUUGGAAUUUGUCUUUGAGUAGUUAUUCAGCCUCAACUGGAGCCUGUUAUAAGCACCCUUUUGGGGUAGAAGUUUGGCAUUGAUAACUUAACACUGGAUGCUAGAGGACAAAUUUUCAGCAGAAGGAGCUGUAUGUGCUACUGAAGCCUGGAGCUUACUAGAGGUUGAUUUUAAUGUUUCUCUUGCUUUCCCACUAAUGAGAUCUAAAUUAUAGGACUGAUAGACUUUUUUUCCCUUUACUCAUUAUUUAAGAGCCAGUUCAUAUUUUAAUUUCUCAUUGAAUUGCCCGUAAAAUAUUAAAUAAGAUAAAUGCAGCACAAUUAUCCAACUUAGGAAAUGUGCUUUUUUUUCUUUCCUUUUAAAUUCUUAGCUGGGUUUUGUUAAGAGCUUCAGCAAAAUCGAUUUUCUCUAUUUUUUGAAAUGGUGCUCCAUUUGUAUGGCUAGGAAGAGGGCACUGCAGUUCAACAGUUGGAGUCUUUAGGUGUGAUAAAUAAACAAAAGCUGGUUCCAUUAUUCCUGUGGUUUUCCUCAUCUUUUUUUCUUUCGAUGGACACAAAAUAAUGCUGAUUUUCACCUUUAGGAAAAGGUUAUUCUGCCAUUUCUCAUGGCCAUUAGUGAUGGAAGCUGUAAUGUGAAGUCCGUUGAAUGGACUUGUCUCCCAAUACCUUUUGUCUUUUAGACACCCACUUCUGUCGAUACCCUGUGGUGAUUUUUACAAAGUGCUUGGAUGGUCAUUCUGUCUGAUGUGCCAGUGAGGCUUCCUUUGACUGACAGUUGAGCGUCUGAUUCAUACGCUUCAGUAGCUGUUGGACCACAGGCCCAAGCCUGAUGGGUGAAACAAAUACCGUAGUAUUAUGAUAUGAUUACCUGGAACCACAAAUCCAGAUUCACUCAAAUGAAUUAAAUUGAUUUUGAUUUGCAGUCUAAGAAAAUAAGGUUCCAGAAUGUCAGCCAUCUAUUCUUUCCCCUGGUCUUUAGCUAAGUUGUAAUACUACUAGGGUAGAUUUUAUUUAUGUAUAAUCUGAUUAUAGCACAGCAGAAAUAGUCAAAACCCUAGUUAAUAAUUUUUUUUCUACAAAAGUACAUUCUUAUGCAUAGGACUAUAUUAAAUAUUUGUCGUGGCUCAGAAGUAGAUUUAGUUUUGACCAGUUAGAAGGUACUGUGCAUUAAACACAUGGAUAUACAUUGUCUCUCAUAACAAAUAAUUUCUCACUCUAGGAAUUAUUUGUAGUCUUGACACUAUUUUUUGGACAAAGAUAAGAACUCACCUUAAUUUGUAGAUAUGUCAGACUGAGGAAGCCCAUUUUUUCUCAUCUCCAUAUUUUUUACUGAUAUUUAAAAAAGAUAUUGGGCUCUAUAUAUUAAGCUUCUCUUACAUGCAUAUGGAGACCUUGGACUGGUGGUCCAAGGUGGUGGUUCUGGAAUCUGCUGCUUACACAAUCUAGUUAAUUUCUAAACAGACCAAAAAUCAAAGAACCUACAGAAUUAUAGGCCUAACUCCCAAGCCUCUCUAUAAGUAUCUCUGAGGUGGAUCCUGGUAAUAGAUGUUUUUAUAAAAGUACCUCAUGUGACUUGAAUGCAUAGCCAGGUUUGAAAACUUCUGUCCUGAGCUGACUGAGUGUCAAUACCCUGUUGGUUUAGUUGGCGUCUCUUUACCUCCAAAUAGUCUAUAGUGGAGCUGCCAGAAAUCUCUUGAGUUCAUGAUUGAUAGUGGAUUAUUUAUGAAACAAGUCUCUGGAAGUUUUAUGAUAUAACUUAUAAUUGUAAGCUAUAACUUCUAUUCCAUUAUAUCUUUGAAUUUUGGUAUGCCUUGCAUUAAAACUACUCUUACAGAGAAUUUUUAUUCUCUAAUCUCAUAUUUCAACAGGCUUCUUUUCACCCUAAAAAUCCUGAUGUUAAAAAUUGUUUAAAAUAACAUUGAUACCAAAAGAAGACUAAAACUGAGAUGAGAUGAGUAAAAAUGAAUUUUUAAUGGUAUCAAAUUAUCCUCUUUUGAAUGGAUAAGUAAAAGUUUAAUUACUUUUUAGAAAGCAUAUCAUGCAUCUUGUUACCCCCAGUGAAUCCUAUAACUAGAAAUAUAUCACCUACUUUUGGAAAACAAACUGAAAUAGGAUGCACAUGAAGGGCACUUUAGCUGUCUGAUUAAGCAGAAUCCAUUGAUGUGUUUGUUUCCAACAGGCCCAGUCUUUGUCUCUGCAUCCCAUACAAUGAUUCAGUACAAAUCACUUUAUAACCUUACUUUUCUAUCUUUCAAUAUAGUGUUUGUUUUCAGAGUUUAUCUUUAGUUAUCUGUCUCUAGGUUUAGAACAUCUUGUUUUAAAGUAGCAGAAAUUAGUUCAUACUCAUUUCUUAAAUAUGGACUCUGACUUCCACCAUGUCUGGAUGUAUAUUUUAAGGGCUUAUUUCCAUGAGAAAUGUUAUGUGUGAGAUAUAUGUGUUAAGCUACUGGCUUUGGGCCUGUUUAUCUUUGACUUGUUCUGAGUUUCCCUAUCACCUUAAAAACAUUUGAAGGCCAGGGCUGAAGGAUAUGAUAGAAUAACACCUCUUUUAGCAACAACAUGUGACUCUAUAGACUGACUCUGGUUUGGGAUAUGCUGACUCUGAUUUCUUAUAUUGCAGGCUCAAAUGUCCUAAUUUACCCUUUGUGUAUCUCUAUGAACUAUUCUUGAGCUUUUAUGCAAUCCUGUGUGAAAAAUCAGCCAGCCAUUUUAUUUUGGCAUUUACCGACUAGCGAAAUACUGACUAGUACCCACUCAAAGAGUGCAAUAUUCAAGAAAAUGCUGAGUGGUAUUUGGAUUUUAGCUUGCCUGUCAUGAAAUUCUCUUUAAUAUUUUACCAGUCCUCUUUAAAAUUUUGCCAGUUGAAAAAAACAAACAAACAAACAAACAAAAAUUACUGUCUUAUAAUAGUUUCUAUUUCUUGGUUAUAUAACGGAAGUGUCCACUUCCCUCUUUUCCAGCUUAGGAGCUUUAGUGUGCUCAGUUGAACCCCAAAGUAUACAUACGUGAGCCCAGCACUAUCACCUCACUAGGCAUCCAGCAGGUCCCUGGGUAAGGGAUCUUUGAAAGAUCUGGAAAGAGGGAUGGGACAUCUAGUUAGAGGCAGGUCUCACUCAACAGCCAGAGGGAAGGGGCAAUCAGCAAGUGGGUGUGACGUUUCCCCCUGAAUACUCAGCUAUCCAGGUCCUGAUGAAGCUCGGCUCUUGGGCACCCUGCAAGUGUCCUUGCUCAAGGUCUUUCUCUCAGUACACUGGGUCCAGUGGAAUAUCUAAGAAUUAUCUGGAUCCAGGGAUAAGAUGAAGGCCUUGGAUUUCAUGCCCCUCUUUUCAUCACCAUUAAGUCUUUUGCCAUUUCUAACUUUUCUUUUAUCAUUUUUUUCCCAUAAUAAUCCUCAAUAAAGAUUUCUGCAAGGAAAUUCCUAAUAACCCUUUAGAGAAGAACACAAGUAGAAAAAAAAAAAAAAGUUGUUCUUCUCCUGUAGGGGAAGCAGGGCUCAGGCUUUAGACAGAUAGUGCCAGAUCUUAUGAGAUAAUUUUCACUGAUUAUGGGUCAUGACCACAUUAGAGGAUUAGUUAAUUGGCUUCUCCUGUUAACAUCAACAAUGACAACCACCACCAAAAGGAAAAAAGCAAAAAACAAAAAAAGCUAGCUUUCAUACAAAAAAAUAGGGUAUCUUCUACUCUGUAGCAUUCAAAUGAAGAAUAUAGGAAACAAUGAAGAAUUAACUGAAUAAUCUUUACAAUGCAAUGCAAAGUAAAUUACAAAAAUAAGUAAAUCACUAUAGCUACACAUGAAAUCCGCUUGCACUUACUGUGCAUCCACGGUUUCAGUCCAAUUCAGGUACAUUAAUUGUAUUUAUUCCUUACAAGAUUUUUAUGAGUUAUUUUUAGACCCAUUCUAAAGCUGAGUACACCAACAGGUUAGAGUUGAUAAAUAACUUGGCCUAACAUCAUACAAUUGUUACUAAAUGUUAUACGAAAUCUUUUUUUUUUAAUUUUUUUUUUUUUUCAGACAGGGUCUUGCACCAUCGCCCAGGCUGGAGUGCAGUGGUGUGAUCUUGGCUCAUUGCAACCUCUGUCUCCUGGGUUCAAGCAAUUCUUAGGCCUCAGCCUUUCAAGAUAGCUGUGAUUACAGGUGUGUGCCACCACGCCCAGCUAAUUUUUGUAAUUUUACUAGAGACGAGGUUUCUGCCAUGUUGGCUGGGCUGGUCUGGAACUUCUGGCCUCAAGCAAUCCCCGCCUCAGCCAUCCAAAGUGCCAGACUACAGGCGUGAGCCACUGCGCCCAGCUUCUUUUUUGGUUUUUACAUUUUUCCUUUUGGCUGUUGUUGUCAACAUUGUUAACAUGAGAAGCCAAUUGCCCAGUUCUCUAAUGAAGAUCCACCACUGUCUUUCUAAAACUUGAGUUCUGCUUACCCUACAGGAGAGAAUAAACUUUUUUUUUUUUAAGAGAUGGAGUCUCACUCUGUCACUCAGGCUGAAGUGCAGUGGUGCAGUCUCGGCUCACUGCAACCUCCGCCUCCCGGGUUCAAGCAAUUCUUCUGCCUCAGCCUCCCCGGUAGCUGGGAUUACAGGUGUCCACCACCACGCCUGGCUAAUUUUUGUAUUUUUAGUAGAAUUGGCCAGGCUUGUCUCGAACUCCUGACCUCAGGUGACCCGCCUGCCUUGGCCUCCCAAAGUCCUGGGAUUACAGGUGUGAACCACUGCAUCCGGCCAGAUAAGCGUGUUUUAUGUUUUUUCUCCUUGGGUUCUUGUCUAAAGGGUUAUUAAAAUUUUUCUGAGUUUUUAACUUUUUCAUUUCAUUAUUUUUUUCUAUAAUAAACCUCAAUGAUAAUUUCCAAAAGGAAACUAUAUUGCUAUUUCUCCUUCUUACCUUGCAACAUUAGAUGAAACCUAUAGAACACUGCUAGGUACUAAUGGAAUUAAUGUUGAUUCUGAUCUUAUUAAAAGAAGUCUGUUGUUUUUUAGCUUCUGUUCUUUAGCAUAUUUUAAAAGUCUCAUACUAUUUGAAAUAUUUACAUAGACUUUUAAACCGGAAUGCCUGCUGAAAUUUGUUUUUCAGAAUUUAUUUAUAUAAUUACAGGAAUUUUCACCUCUAAUUUGUUAGCAUUUGAAGUCUAUUGAUGGAUUUUUAUCAUGUGGAACCAUAUAUGCAUUCAUGGAAUAAGUACAACUUGGUAGACUUAUUUUAAUAUAUUGCUUGAUUUGGUUUGCAAAUGUCCAUUUCCUGGCGUUCUAGUUAAUUGAAAUACUUGCUUUCCCCAAAGCAGCAACACCAGUACUUUUUCUUUCAAUAAUAACAUUGGUGUUCAUAUUCUAAAAUAUCUAGCUUUUCCUGUGCCAGACUUAAAGGUUAGUUAUAUUUUAAUACUACAUGUUUUAUGCAGCUCCUUAAACCUCAAAUCAGAACAACACUAGUGAUAGUUGUCUCCAUAUGUUCUCAUUAGAAUUCUACCAAAUAUCUGGCUGGGUAGCUGCCCUCGUCAGGUGGAACAUGUAACCAUCAAACUGAAGCAUGAAUUGGGGAUUACAGCUGUAAUGAAUUUCCAGACUGAAUGGGAUAUUGUACAGAAUUCCUCAGGCUGUAACCGCUACCCAGAGCCCAUGACUCCAGACACUAUGAUUAAACUAUAUAGGGAAGAAGGCUUGGCCUACAUCUGGAUGCCAACACCAGAUAUGAGCACCGAAGGCCGAGUACAGAUGCUGCCCCAGGCGGUGUGCCUGCUGCAUGCGCUGCUGGAGAAGGGACACAUCGUGUAUGUGCACUGCAACGCUGGGGUGGGCCGCUCCACCGCGGCUGUCUGCGGCUGGCUCCAGUAUGUGAUGGGCUGGAAUCUGAGGAAGGUGCAGUAUUUCCUCAUGGCCAAGAGGCCGGCUGUCUACAUUGACGAAGAGGCCUUGGCCCGGGCACAAGAAGAUUUCUUCCAGAAAUUUGGGAAGGUUCGUUCUUCUGUGUGUAGCCUGUAGCUGGUCAGCCUGCUUCUGCCCCCUCCUGAUUUCCCUAAGGAGCCUGGGAUGAUGUUGGUCAAAUGACCUAGAAACAAGGAUUCUACCUGAACUGAAAGGACUGUGUGACCUCCCCCAAGCCAACCACUUUCACCUGGGAUGACUUUCGAUUAUGCUUUGUUUUGGGGCUGUAUUUUUGAAAUACUCUACAAGAAAGCUGUGACUCAACACAUGAGAAGAAGCAUGAAGCAGUUAGGCUGUACAUCAGACAGAAGGGUAAUGCGUGCAGUUCCUGCUGCCUGCAGGCGGACGAGGCCUUUGCUUUACAGCACUGUGUGUGUUGCACGAUGGAUCUGUGACAGCACUUUCCUGUUGCACUGAAACUCUUGGCCAUGCAGAGGAAAAGAUAUGGAGUUAUGUGGAUUUCAUCACUAGUAUGUGUGCGUGAGCUGGUCAGUUGCCAAAGGAGGAAAUAAGGUUAGAAGCCUGAACCGUUACAAAAGAAGAGCUCACUGUGGUCAAAAAGUGAUGGCUUUCAGGACUUGUUUUUUAUCCUGCCUCACAGUUGUUAAAGUCUGUUCCAAGGCAUCACCUUCCUUCUCUACCCAACAACCCUGUGUAACAACU
rnacentral:sRNA from 1 species